rnacentral:rRNA from 1 species
AGAGUUUGAUCCUGGCUCAGGAUGAACGCUGGCGGCGUGCCUAACACAUGCAAGUCGAACGGGGCGCGCAGGCUGAGGCUUUUCGGAGCGGAAGCCUGCGCUGCCCAGUGGCGGACGGGUGAGUAACGCGUGGGCAACCUGCCCUGCACUGGGGGACAACAGCCGGAAACGGCUGCUAAUACCGCAUAUGCCCGCAGCCCCGCAUGGGGCGGCGGGGGAAGCUCCGGCGGUGCAGGAUGGGCCCGCGUCUGAUUAGCUGGUUGGCGGGGCAACGGCCCACCAAGGCGACGAUCAGUAGCCGGCCUGAGAGGGUGGGCGGCCACAUUGGGACUGAGACACGGCCCAGACUCCUACGGGAGGCAGCAGUGGGGGAUAUUGCACAAUGGGGGGAACCCUGAUGCAGCGACGCCGCGUGGGCGAUGGAGUGCUUCGGCAUGUAAAGCCCUAUCAGCAGGGAGGAAAAUGACGGUACCUGACCUAAGAAGCCCCGGCUAAAUACGUGCCAGCAGCCGCGGUAAUACGUAUGGGGCAAGCGUUAUCCGGAUUUACUGGGUGUAAAGGGAGCGUAAGCGCCCUGGCAAGCCUGAUGUGAAAAUUACCCGGGGGCCCAACCCCGGGGGCUGCAUUUGGGAACUGCCAGGCUGGAGUGCCGGAGAGGCAGGCGGAAUUCCUAGUGUAGCGGUGAAAUGCGUAGAUAUUAGGAGGAACUCCAGGGCCGAAGGCCGGCCCUGCUGGACGGUGACUGACCCCUGAGGCUCGAAAGCGUGGGGAGCAAACAGAAAUAGAUACCCUGGUAGUCCCCCCCGUAAACGAAGAAUAACAGGCGUCGGCGGGCAAAGCCGCGCCGCUUCCGCAGCAAACGCAGUAA